AGCGCCGUCUCCCCGCCCGCGUCGCGGCUGCGGUACAAGAGGUCUCUCUGCUGGUGUUGACGCCGUGAGUCACGUGCAGACAAAAGCCAUCCUCCUUUCACCGUUAGAGUCAGCCUCUCCGAGGACUGGGGUCCUCAGCCCUCCCAGUGCAAUAAUUCCUAAAAUCGUCUGCAAGUAUGAACAGAUGGGAAGAGUGAAGAAAGCUCAGAAAAAAGAAAGCAGAUUAAUGAAGAGGAACGUGCUGUUUUGGAGACAAGAAACUGUGAUAAACGUGAAACCGAUAGUUCAACAAAUUAAGUAUUAGAAAUGACGAGGGCUGCCGUUUAAUCAACGGCGCAGUGUGGAAGCAGUAUAGGGAGCCCUAAGUCAGAGCUCCCCUGAUACAAUUAGGGAGGAAAGCGUGGGUCGCUUAAUCAGUGAUGCACAGUCGUUGGUGAAACAUUUGUUAA